rnacentral:rRNA from 1 species
UACGGAGGGUGCAACCGUUGCUCGGAAUCAUUGGGCGUAAAGCGCACGUAGGCGGCCUGUUAAGUCGGGUGUGAAAGCCCUGGGCUCAACCCAGGAAGUGCACUCGAAACUGGCGGGCUAGAGUAUCGGAGAGGUUGGUGGAAUUCUCGGUGUAGAGGUGAAAUUCGUAGAUAUCGAGAGGAACACCGGUGGCGAAGGCGGCCAACUGGACGAAUACUGACGCUGAGACACGAAAGCGUGGGGAGCAAACAGG